UUACAUGUAGCCUAGUGGUUGGAGCUUCUGCCUGGGAUGCUGGAGGUCGCUAGUUCGAACUCCGGCCAAGUCAU